rnacentral:lncRNA from 1 species
GUCCGAAAAUUUUUUUUGCAUCAACAAUGAUUAUUAAAAAUUUUAAAAUGAACGGAAAUCAUAGUGGUUUAUGCUUCAUGGGAUUGGUGAGUGCUCAAAAGUAGUUGAAAAGGAAUAUGUUCCAGUUACUUUAUUAUCCUAAGAAGGGAAUAUGGAGCUCCUCUCAAGCACUUUUAACCCACGGUUUUGCUGUCAAUCGAAUCUUGAGGUGGUUGUUUCUGUAAUGUAUAUUGGUCUGGGCUUCACUGUGAAACAGUUUCUUCCUACUGUAACUCUCUUAUGAAUCUACCAUUUCUUAUCAAAAAAAAAAA